CAAGUGCAGCUUCUUCCAGACUGGGGAGGGGCUGCGUGUGCUGAGGGAAGAAGGGAGACACGCUGCUGGCUUUCCGUGGGUGCCUGGCACUUCUGCCUCCUCAGCCAAGGCCUCCAGUGUCUCUGGCCAUCUGCUCCUUCCAUUCCCGUCAAGGCUACGUCCUGGCUGUUACCACAUCUGGAGUGGUAUUCCAUGGACAGCCCCCGGCCUCACUGUCAGUUACUCCCAGGAGCAGCCUAAAGGAGAGAGCCCUACACACCAAGCAGAAGGCGGGAGCGGCCUGUCUACGCAGACCAUCUUGAGAGAUGUGCAGGACGGACGAGUGGCCGGAAGUGUGGGUACUGGGUGAGAGGAGAGAGAGCAAGGUGGAGGCUGGAGGAAGGGUUGUCCAUCUCUGGGACUGCCAGCUCAUCUCUGGAACAGGGCUGGGCUCGACACGCUCUGCCUUCCACGCAUCCGACUGCCUCAAGAGUGUCCAAGACAGCCAGCCACUCAGAUUCAGGAGGCUAGGCUAACCAGCAAGCUGCAAGACCUGCUGUAUUCCUGGGUUAUCGGGACAGUGCACCCUGACAAAGACUGCUUAGCUAGGUACACUUCUUGCCCUCUAUUUAAACCCAAACCUCAUGUCAUGGCCUGGAAGAUGGGACAUGAAGGUCACAAGAUCUCCGGUUCCUCUUCCCAGUGUGGCCACAUUGAAUAAAUCUUCAUUUUCUGCC
rnacentral:lncRNA from 14 species